UCAAAAACCGAAGCAUGGUCAAGCGCCCCUAGCAUCACUUUUAUGACGCAAAAUGUGCCUCUCGGUGUCGAAUAUCGAAGCACUACGACCUUCAUUGCUUUCAAUGGGAAACUUUUGGCGUCAGAAUUCGACACGAGGACAUGAGAUGUUUAUCGCUAUGAAAUCACGUUCAAGAAGUCUCAUUCAGCACACAUCGCGAUACUUGCUAUCAGUUCCACAGUUUGGCUGAAAAGACGUAAAGGCAGUCAGCCCAGUGGUGUUUCUGGAGAGGGAUUCCUUCAGAAAUGGAGAAGACAGAAAGCUGCGGAGGCAGAUAUUUGCAGCAUGUUCGAGUGAGCAUGAUAACCACAAGUGUGUGUCGAACUUUUCAUGACCUGAUGACUGUGUUUCCCAGUCCUGAUCCUGGAGAACCCCAGCACUGCACGGUUUUGGUGUCUCUCUUUUCUGCCUUGGAGUCUUCACUGAUGAGCUGAUGAGUUGAAUCAGGUGUGUUUGAUCAGGGAGACAUCUCAAAUGUGCAGUGUUGGGCUUCUCCAGGACCAGGAUUGGGAGCCACUGCCUUAUGGGACACUUAUGUGUUUACAGAGAUUUUUAAUAUCUAAUUAUCAAUAUUUCACAUACUGUACAUUGGACAGCUUUCCGUGACCUCUUGUGAGAUCUCGGCAAAAAGUCUGACGAUUUAUUCCAAAACAUGAUGCAUGAUGGGAUACACUAAGCUUUGUAUAGCGCUCCAGAGCAGUAUUGGAGAGGUUUAGUGUGUGUUAAGGACGCUGUGCUUUGGCAUUAUUAAGACCGGGGACGGUCUCGUUCACACACUGUCAUGUACACACACUUGUGGUCAUCAUGUUCACUUGAACACUCACAAAUUAUAACAGCAGGAAUGUUUGAUAAAAUGGACAAACUAUCACAGACUUUCUGCUGCAAAUAUCUGCCUCCGCAGCUUUCUGC